CUCUGCACCUGCUUAAGUUUGGCGAACAGAUUCUCAGUCUUUUGCAGUGUCUCUUUAGAUUCACCAAUUUUUGAAUGAUACAGAAGUAACGAGCUAGAAAUAUCAUCGUACUCAACAUCGAAUCGAAAGCUUAUAGGUAGUCAAAAAGGUUGGGGGUGGUGGAUAUUAUCUUCAUAGUAAGUUGUUGUUGGCCUCAAUUGUUGAGAAAAAGCUUCAUAAGCGGUCUUCAUUUUCAUGCUUUUGGCAUCAGACUUCUUAUUGUUAGUAUCUCUAAAAUGGAGCAGUUUUGUAAAUGAAUAUUAUUGUUGAUUCCAUUUUCAGAGAUGUGUAUCAACAGAUGAAAUCUCAUUUUGUUUUAGCUGAACAAAUGUGUUUCUCUUUUCUAUGGGAUCGUAGGUAUGUCAUGGAUUAGUCGAUUUUUGAAUAUUACUAAUUAGUGUGCAUAUUGGAGCUUUUACACUCAAGCACACGGGUGUUCCUUCUUUUGCAGCAUUUGGAUGUUUUUCCCAACAUAUUCACAUGCAAAACGUCUCAGUUGAGUAGUUCUUGAUCUUGUCGGGUAAUCGUCCUUUCAUUUUGUCUCUACAUGAAUUAUGAACAACUACUGUACCUCCAUUUGCUCAUGAAGCCUUCUCUGCACUUCAAUUUGAACCUGAAAUGCUUCGCUUAUAUGUAAGUUUCUGCAUUCAAGAAGUUCACUUUCAGAGUUUGAAUUGCUCAGGAAAUAUUGCCCAAGCCAAUUUAUGUAGACGAGUGAAAAUAGAAAUUCUUUUGCGUUCUCACUUGUUCACUUGUAUUCCAGUACUUGAAUUGUUCAUGUGAGGUCCAUUUGCUUCUGACACUUUCACUUCUGCCACUGGUUACAAACAAUAAGAAAAUUGGUUUCUCAAUUUGUUUAUUGCUCAGUGCUCACUGAAUUAGGGAAUAAAAGGAAGCAAUUGAAGAGAACAGAAUUUGCUUUUACCAGCUCUGUUUGUCCCAUUAGUUGCUUGUCCAUGCAGAUUCUUGCUAAGUCUGUAUUUCUGCCACAAAAGUAUGAUGCUAGGAUUUAUUAUACAAGUUUAUGGUCAUGGAUGUCAAGUCAGAGACAAAAUAGCAAUUUGUGCCACCUGUUUCCAUAACCCUAUUUGUUUCUCUCCAAAUCUCGUGUUGAAUACUAUAAGCUAUGCGAGACUGUGUGAGAAGUUUACCUGAAGAUGACUCUUUAAAUGGUAUAAGCUUGCAGAAGCAGAUGCCGUUCUGAAAGGAUGGACAUUCUUGAAGAAGGAUGGAAGUUCUUUCCUCCAUAGAGACUGUGAUUGUGCAUUAUCUACAAUGAAGAUAAUGUAAUUAAUACGAAGCUUGAUCAGAAGACCUCUGUCCAAAACCAAAUCUGGCUUGAGGUCAGUUAUAUAUGAUUACCUUUUCUCCGUCCAAAUAUGCCGGACCUGAUAUCUGGAAGUCAGUGCAGUUACGUUGUUGCUGAAGAGCUCUAGGUCUCGUUCACUGCAUUAAAGAGAAUUUCUUUCAAGUACUCUUUCGUAUAUUGUCUUGUUGGCUUCUCUUGAAUGAAAGGUAUGCUUGUGCAUGGAUUUAUAGGGGCUUUCUAAUUUCCUUUUUUGAGAGGUUGUGAGGGUAUUGUGGUCAUUGAUGCAUAGAAUAUUUGUCACAGCAAAAGUAGUGGACCCGAUCCAAUAUCUAUCGUGACUGGAAAAAAAAUUGUUUCUUCUGCUUUGCCAACUACAAGCUCUAAAAUCCAUCUUCAAUUUCCUAUCUCAGAUAAUCUUACUCAUUUAUCAAGAGGCAUAAACUUACUACACCUGCAAAUAUGUUCUUUGUGCUUCCGUGCAUUGAUGUGUUUUUUUCUUUUUCGUCUGCUUGGCAAAGGUUGGAAUCUUAUUCCCAUUCAUGGAGGCAUUCUCUGACUCGGAUUAAAAGAGUCCACUGGUUUUAUUGUCUUGACAACUUCAAAGUCAUAACAAAUUUUUGUUCUGAGAGUGGAUUUUCAGGAUCCCCAAGCCUCCGUCUGAACUCAGAGUAGUAGGAAUUUUGUUUGUCCAAGUCAUUACGUCAACUAAUAGUAAAUAAUUAAUGAAAAUGAAUUGGUUCAUUUCUGCCUGGCAAUCCAUAUUAAAGGUCGUAGAUGUAGACACCAAAGAAUGUCUUUAUUAGUUACAUUUGGAGUAUGUAGGAGACGAUUUUGUUGACUGGGUCAUGAGAGGCAUUUGUAUAAGAUACACUACAAAAGGCAAAGGGGGCUCCUCCUUCUUGGAGUUUUAGAAGGCAAGGAAUAAAUUCCACUUUCUCUCCAUCAGAAGUUUAGUACUUAUUCAGUUGUUAGGGAAUAAACAAAAAGUGGCUCCCAAAUUCUUUUAGUUCUUUAGUUGGCAUAAGACAGCUGUUCUAGCCCCAGCGAAUUUAUGCAUCCUAAGCUCCAGGAACCCAGUGAGAAAACAAAAGGUGGACUGUACUCGCUUCCACACUUUUAUUAGUAAAUGAAAGGACAACAGUGCCUAGAGUGGACCCCCUACCUCGCCCUCGACUCAUCCUGCUUUAAAUUAUAAUUCGCUUGCUCCAAUUUGCAGUUUCCUUCUUUCAAAUUGUUUUCUUGUUUUCCAUAUGCAAGAUCCUUCUUGGAAGAUUCACAAACAUUAAAAGAGUUUGUUGCUGGAUGCAAUUAAAGCUAACUUUUGUGUGCAAUUAGUCACACUGAUAUGUUCAUAAGCUAAAGAGAGAGAAAUAAUGCGAGACUUGGAUUCUGCGGUUAAGUACAUUGUACAUACUAAUGCUGAUUACUGUACUCUCCAUCCAGGUACUUUCUGUGGGCAAUGACAGUUUGACACCCAUCUAUGACUGAAUAAUAUGUACGCUAAGCGUCUAGUUAAAAGCAGUUUUCAGUUUGUAAAUGGCAGUGCCGUUGCAUUGUGUCAAUCUCAGAGCUAUACUGGCUUGUUAUAGUGUGUAUUGCAAUGACAACUGUGGUUUUAUGUAAGUAUUAUGUUGGAACUAUACCCUCUGAUAUAAAGUGAUGAAUUCGCAAACGAGGGUGAUGGAUGCUAUAGCAGAAAUACAGUUCAUCGGUGUCAGUGUAACUGUAGUCACGUCUGAAAGAUUAAUUUGUUUUAUGUGCAAAUCCGGGGGAGCCGUGGUUGUAUAGUGACACUAAUUAAUUGUACCUACCUUAGUAUCUGAAAGAUAAUUCAAAAGAAUAUCAUCUAUGCUUCUAUAUGAUCAACAUAGAAUGUCGGAGAAAUUUAUAUGCCCAUGUGAUAUAGAGCGAAUAAAUUUAUAAGGUCUGGAACAGAGAAUGAAGAAUGCUAUAGCAGAAAUGUACUUCAUCAAAAUCAGUGCAAAGCACUCAAGUCCACUAUAUAUUAAUUUGCUUAAUGUGCACCAGUGCGUGACCCGUGGUUGGUUGGUCAUGUUAUGCAACCAUACCUACCUAUAUAGUAUUCAGAAAGAAUAAUAUCUAUGGUAUAUUGUAAAAUCCACAGCUAAUGCAGAAUAAAUUCGUACAUGGGUCCAGAAUGACACAAGCUGCUAGUUCACUGUCUAAUUACCCUUACGGCAGUGAUCUGUAAUUUAUCGAUCUGGUAAGACAUGGUCAAUAAACAGAACCAUUUAGUGCAUUUUGAUGAUGUCAGAACAAACAAUGUGAACUGUAGAUCGGAGUGGGGCUCCAGAGUUAUGGAUGUAUUCCUUGUAAUGAUGUACUUGUGUUUGGUCCGCAGCAGAGAUCAAUCAAUUUGGUAGGAGGAUAUGUUGUGCUAUCUCGAAGACUCGAUGAAGUGGAGGCCGUUACCAAAAUGACAGAGUAAGAAUGCUUAAGUAGUUUGUUGGCAUGUUGAUGGAAUAAAUUACUCAAACGUCAUUUGGUCUUCAAAAAAACAGAACAAAUGCUCAUGCCCUCUGUAGUCAAUUUUAGCACUCAAUUGAUUUUCUUUUGUUGCGAUUUACUAUUGGCAUCAUUUGAUGGCAUACCCCAAACUGAACAGCUUAAUUCCAAGAGUUCACAAUUGUACUUCACCAAAGUGUUUAUUUCUUGCAGAUUAAAAAGGUCUGCUGGUAACUUAUGCUUCUGCAGAGGGAUCAGGCUUCUGUAGCUUCAAACUAGGAUUGUUCUUGUUUUGAUGCUUGUGUGAUUAUGCUAAUUUUCAAGAAAAUCUAUAUGUAGUUGAUAUAGGUGCAUGAUAGUGUCGUCCUUUCUAUUCUUUUGGUAAGAAUGGCUAGUGCUUUAACUUUCUUCUGCUCGCAUAUCUGAGUGGUGACAGGUACUUGGAAAGUAUUUGCUUUUACUUGAUGUCAUAAAGCCCUUACUUUGGUCUCUUCCACCUGGAUGAACGCAUUUUCAUCUUGUGCAGAGUCAAGGAGGAGCAUUCAUCGAAUAAUUAUUACCAUCUGUAGAAUCUCUAUCCUCUAGGAUUUUGUGCUUUAUAAUGUUCUUUGUACUUAGAAUUGCUUUUGUAGAUAUUUUAUCAUUGCAAAACUUAUUCUGCAGGUACGGCCUGGUUCUAAAAAGUGAGACUUCACAUCAACUCUUAGAAUCAUUUUAGAGACAAGUUUAUCCUAAUCAAUGACAUUGCAAAAUGUUUAUCGGUGCUUAUCCGUUUUGUGACACGCCAAUGCAUCACCCUAAAAGGUAAGUAAGAAAUGGCCACAGGAAAGCUACUCCCAGUGGAGAAAAAGUUGGAGGAGGGGAAGGAAGAUAAAAGCGUACAGAUUCCGUUGAAAUCAGACGAUUCAUUCUCGAGCGAGUGUCCGUUUCAUGCAUAUAUUCUACCCCCGCAUUCAAUUUGUUUGGUAGCCGCGAUCUAAUCCAAGAAUAUCAAAAACUGUUGCACCUGUGCUGUGUGGUCCCACUGCAUCUCGCCUUUCUUAUCGGCCUCUAUAUCCACUCUUUCGGGUACCGGUUCAUCCGCAUACUUAAGCCCACACUCGGAAAGGUAGGACCAUGUCAUGAAGACGAGCAUAGAUGCUGUUCGAAUAGUUGAAUGCGUUCCAUGAAGUCGGAACGGGUCGAUUGGAUUCCGUUGUUCGGGCUGAUCCACUGAAGAGGUCCCGGGAUAAUGGAAGCCCGGUUCAUGAGUCCUACGUUUUCGUUUUCGUUUUUUUCGCUCGUUCCAAUAUCAGAAAAGGCCGAUGAUUCGGCCGAAAUGCCCAUCGAAAUAAGUUCUGAUAACACCCUUCGAAUCAUGUAGAUCGAGGGACAGAGUUUUUGCAGUAGAAUCAGCCUCCAC